rnacentral:rRNA from 1 species
CCAAUAGCGUAUAUUAAAGUUGUUGCAGUUAAAAAGCUCGUAGUUGAACUUCGGGGUUUACCCAUUGGUCAGGCUUAAUUGUCUGUACUGGUGAGAUGAAUCUCUACCUUCUGAGGAACUUUCAUGCCAUUUAUUUGGUGUGAUUGGAAAUCAGGACUGUUACUUUGAAAAAAUUAGAGUGUUUAAAGCAGGCUAACGUCUGAAUACAUUAGCAUGGAAUAAUGAAAUAGGACGGACUGAUUCUAUUUCGUUGGUUUCUAGGAUCACCGUAAUGAUUAAUAGGGAUAGUUGGGGGCAUUAGUAUUCAAUUGUCAGAGGUGAAAUUCUUGGAUUUAUUGAAGACUAACUACUGCGAAAGCAUUUGCCAAGGAUGUUUUCAUUAAUCAAGAACGAAAGUUAGGGGAUCGAAGACGAUCAGAUACCGUCGUAGUCUUAACCAUAAACUAUGCCGACUAGGAAUCAGACGAUGUUAAUUUUUUAAUGACUCGUUUGGCACCUUACG